rnacentral:lncRNA from 10 species
UCCCAAAGUGCUGGGAUUACAGGCGUGAACCAUCGUGGCCUGGGCAAAUUCUACCUUUCCCUUGAGAAAAGCAAGAAAACCGAGGAAUGCAAGUCCUGUUAAAUGAUCAGACCCAGAGAGACAUUGAAGUGAGCCAGCCCUGGCAUCCUCCUUCACCCCCAGCUGCACAUUCAUCUAUUGAAGCUGCCUGCUGCUGCCACAGGUCAACACCGUCACCACUCAACUGAUAUCUUACUGCUU